rnacentral:lncRNA from 1 species
CAAUAAUAUCAAUUAAUUUCAUAUUCUAGUAAAAUAUCCUCAUUUAGACAUUUUAACAAACACCAAACAUGCAAGCUUUAAAAAACUCAGUUUCAUAUAAAUUCUAACAUAUAAAUACACAAUUUCCUUAUGUAAUCCUUCCUUAUACUCUGGAAUCUUUCUGAUGCCACCAAUAAUACAACCUCCCAAAACCAAUCAUAACAAUUAAUAACUAUUAUUUACUCAAAUUUUAUGAAUUUUGCCAAGAAAACAUAACUUGCCUUUUUUUUUUUUGCUUGCUAUUAUAGUUGAAAUCUUGCUCUGAGCUUGAUUAUGUAGGAAUUGAAUCCCUCCUUUGCCAAUACUUCAAAAUCUUCUUUACUUCCCGCUUGGAGUAUCAAUUAUUUCACUUACUCUAACUUUUGGUAAAGGCUUCUUGUAUAAGAUUUGAAGAAGAGUUCGAGCUUGGUUUUCUUGGGAGCAAAAGGGCUGAACAUUUUUGAACUUAGGAGGUGAAAUGAUUUGCACUGUAUAAGGAUAAAAAAAAAACCCCACUAACUUCUUCCAGCAGCUCCCACAUUUCCCACUCAAAUAGAUUUGCUAGGUGGUUUCCUCCUAACUAGUACACUACCUACUUUACUUAGACACCUCAUGCUAAAAAUGAAUAAGCA